UCGAAUGUGAAAUGUUUCUUUUGUGGGAAAUCGGGCCAUAAAGCGGCACAAUGUCGUUCGAGAAAAGGAUCCAACACUAGGGAUAUCGUUUCGAAGACACCGACGGGUGACCCGAAGACAUCUUCAACAUCAUCUCAUAGCUGCUUCAGCUGUGGCGGUACCGGCCAUUUUGCGAAGAACUGUCCACGGAGGAGCAGCAAGGAAAGCAACUCAAACACCACGGCCGGCCCUUUACAGGAGAAGCGUGUGAAUGUCUGCACUGUCAACGCGCCAACUGGGAUGCUUCGUCAUGCGGGAGCAUCACACAGGGACGUGUGACAUGUCAAGAUGGCCGUGUCGGAGAUUGUAAAAAACGGAACGUCAAGCCAACAUCGACUUGGGUGUAUUCGGAAUGUGCGCUGGCCACACUAAGAAGUUGGCAACACUGAGGGCUGUCAGCUGUCAGCGACGGAACCGCCAGUACACUUGGGAACGGGGAAACCGAGCGGGCGGUUGUGCCAGCGUGCGACCGACUUCACCGCGUUCCGAAUAAGUAAUCCGAUGUUAUCAAAAGAGUGCUUUAUUAUUUUCGAUUGAUUUAAACACUAUUGUAAUCACAAUAAAUCAGAGAGUACGUUAGAAGAC